rnacentral:rRNA from 1 species
UACGGGGGGUGCGAGCGUUGUCCGGAAUCACUGGGCGUAAAGGGCGCGUAGGUGGCGUCGUAAGUCUGUGGUGAAAGCCCGGAGCUCAACUCCGGGUCUGCCGCGGAUACUGCGAGGCUUGAGUGCUGUAGAGGGGGGUAGAAUGCCGGGUGUAGCAGUGAAAUGCGUAGAGAUGUGGAGGAAUACCGAUGGCGAAGGCAGCCUCCUGGGCCAACACUGACGCUCAUGCACGAAAGCGUGGGGAGCAAACAGG